rnacentral:lncRNA from 1 species
CUGGAAUUGGAUAGCUCACCAGUCAAAUAGAAGACCUCUGGGUCAAGGGGCUUCCUCCUUCCUACACAUCUGGAGCUUCCAACUUCAUCUGGAGACAUGGCAGAGAUCUCACCCAAAGGCUGGUUCAGAAUUAUGCUUGCCUUACUCAAGAAAUGUCC